UGCCUAGGUCCUGCCUACAGAGGACAUUGUGACAUCCCUGCACCCAUCACACAGGUUCUGCCUGCAGGGGAUACUGUGACAUGUCACUGGGUCUAAUACUAAAGUAACGUUACUCUUUAGCCUUGCCACUGCCCUCAGAAGGCAUGGUGAUGUAUUGCUGGGCCCAGAAGCAAUGUGAUGUGAGUCUCCUUCCUGACCCUUCCUGCAAGGAUCUGUGGGACAGACCCAGCAGGUGGUGCCCCAUGUAAGAAGCAAUGAAAUGCAUCAUGAUGGAACCCUCAAAAACGAAAGUGAAGUUACUGCACACCCCUUAGGUCCUCUUUGGAUUCCAGCAUGAUGCAUCAAACCUUACCACGGCAUGACUAGGGCCCAACCUGCUACCAGAAAUAAAGGAAAUGACGAUGCAGAACCCACAACCCUGGAUGAUGUGGCUUCCUUGGAUGACACAGGCCCCAGACAUUACCUGGGGAAUGCUGAAGAACACAACUCAGGAGGCUGAACAAAUCUGCUUCAGACACAGAUACCAUUCAAUCCAUAUAAUUUGUUCUUUGCUAUGCUUUUUAUUCCACAUUGCAACUCUUAUAGAAUACUGAUUCUUCUUAUUCUCUCUUUUUGCCUGCAACCCACACCUGCUAUAAACUAUUGGGCCCAUCUUCUAGAUCUGCCUUUCUUACGGCAUUUUACUUGGGAAGGUACCCCCUUCUCAGCCUCUGACAACGUGACCAAUUGGCUGGGAGGUAUUGACUUACCCCCGGUGGGGUCCCUCAGUAAUGGCACACAUUGGACUCAGGUGCCAAGUAACAUUACAUAUCAAUCCUUGAUUGGAAAAGAAUAAUAUUGAUUAUACUCAUGUUUGUCUUAUGUUAUUUACUGGUUCUAGGGUGCAAAGCUGGAACACAAACUGUAACCAUUGCACCAGUCAAACCUGUCGCUGCUCAGAUCUGUAUGCUUCAAUCAACAAAACCUGAUGCAAAAAAACAGAAAAAGGGGAGAUGUGGGAGAUUGGUCAGAGUGGUGGAAAAAGGAUAGGGAAAGAACGCAAAUUUUCUGAAAUGUUGGAAGGUCCUGCAGAGCUCCAGGGGAGAAUAGCUGAAGGCAGCUGUUCUAUAACCCUGAGGCAGAGAGCAAGCAGUAGGUACAAGGGAGUGUGGAAGAAUUUAUCUUAAACAGGCUUAUUUACUUAUGUUGAUCAGGAACUGACCUUUGAUCAUUUGCGUGUGUGACAUUCCCUGAAAGGGGAACAAUAAAUGUUAAUUAC
rnacentral:lncRNA from 10 species